GGCGGUAACGCCCGGCCCUGCCCCCAGCAGAGGCGGAAGCGGUGUCGCUCUGAGGGGUCGCCAGUCGCCGCAGGCGCUUCAGCCCAGCGGCGGGCCUUGGCCCUUGGCUGCCUACUCCUACCGCCCCAGCCCCGGGCGGCCCUGGGCCUGCUGCGGGCGCGGCGCUGCCCGACCAGAGCUUCCUGUGGAACGUCUUCCAGAGGGUCGAUAAAGACAGGAGUGGAGUGAUAUCAGACACCGAGCUUCAGCAAGCUCUCUCCAACGGAUGAAGCCCCACCCGCCCUUCAGGAUGCCAGCCUUGGCAACAUCGUGAGACCCUGUUUCUACAAAAACUAAACAAGUGUAGUGGUGCACGCCUGUAUUCCCAGCUACUUGGGAGGCUGAGAUGGGAAGAUCACUUGAGCCUGGGAGGUUGAGGCUGCAUUGAGCUGAGAUCAAGCCACGGCACUCCAGCCUGGGAGACAGAGCGAAACCCCAUCUCAAAAAAACAAAGAAAGUGGAUGCGUGCUGCUCCUGCCAUUGGAUCAUCGCAGCAUUUUUCUUUUCUCUGAUAUGCGCCUUUUUCCUCAUCGUGGGGGCUCAUGUUUUCGUAAUUCCCUCUCGCUACUAGAUUGUGAGCUGUGUGAAGGAAGGUUCAUAGUUGAGUUGUAUGUACAGGCACACAAAAUUUGUCCUUGGAUAGACACAUAUCAAUCCACUUCCUUCUCCUCUCUGAAUUUCUUUAUUUAAAAAAAAAAGUAGAGAUGGAGUCUCACUGUCUUGCCCAGGCUGGUGUCAAACUCCUAGGCUCAAGUGAUCCUCCCACCUCUACUAAUAUGAAUUAUUAGGCUAUGCUAAUAUGAAUUUGUAUACUAAUAUGAUUGAAAUUAGUUUGACUUCUAUAAUAAUUGUUCUCCCAGAUUGGGCUUCUGUUUUGAUAGUAGAACUAAAUUAUUAGGCUAUUUCAAGAAAUUAAUAUAUUACUGGUAGAAAAACUGAAGCUACAAAAUGGCCUGGUUUCUCACUUCAGUUAAAUUUGUGCUUCUGAGUGCUUGUAUUCUAGGUGAAACCGCACUGAGAAGGUAUUUGUGGCCUAUACGCUGAUUCAUUGAUUAGACUUCUUUGCACAGGAGAGCUGCUAAAAAUUACUGCGGUGAACAGGUACGAAGAAAAAGACUGUUCUCUGCCCUUCUUUUUGCAAUAAAAUGUUACAAACUAUCUUGAGUUUGAUCCCUUUUCGGGUGUUUGGGUUUUUUUUAACAUUCACAUAUUUCUUGGAAUUAUAAGAAAUUAACUUUGUGCUUCUGAAGUGGGUUUGCCUUAAUAUAACACUGAUGUAUUUGUAAGGGGCAUUUUUAAAGCUGUACUUUAAAAAAUAAUAAUUCUUACAUUCAUUUGAAGGUUU
rnacentral:lncRNA from 1 species